GACGAACGCUGGCGGCGUGCUUAACACAUGCAAGUCGAACGGAAAGGCCCUGCUUUUGUGGGGUGCUCGAGUGGCGAACGGGUGAGUAACACGUGAGUAACCUGCCCUUGACUUUGGGAUAACUUCAGGAAACUGGGGCUAAUACCGGAUAGGAGCUCCUGCUGCAUGGUGGGGGUUGGAAAGUUUCGGCGGUUGGGGAUGAACUCGCGGCUUAUCAGCUUGUUGGUGGGGGAGUGGCUUACCAAGGCUUUGACGGGUAGCCGGCCUGAGAGGGUGACCGGCCACCUUGGGACUGAGGUACGGCCCAGACUCCUACGGGAGGCAGCAGUGGGGAAUAUUGCCCAAUGGGCGGAAGCCUGAUGCAGCAACGCCGCGUGCGGGAUGACGGCCUUCGGGUUGUAAACCGCUUUCGCCUGUGACGAAGCGUGAGUGACGGUAAUGGGUAAAGAAGCACCGGCUAACUACGUG
rnacentral:rRNA from 1 species